UGGGGAAUCUUGCACAAUGGGGGAAACCCUGAUGCAGCGACGCCGCGUGAGCGAUGAAGGUUUUCGAAUCGUAAAGCUCUGUCCUAUGGGAAGAUAAUGACGGUACCAUAGGAGGAAGCCCCGGCUAACUACGUGCCAGCAGCCGCGGUAAUACGUAGGGGGCGAGCGUUGUCCGGAAUUACUGGGCGUAAAGGGUUCGCAGGCGGCAUGACAAGUCCGAUGUAAAAGGCGAAAGCUCAACAUUCGUAAGCAUCGGAAACUGUCAAGCUUGAGUGAAGGAGAGGCAAGUGGAAUUCCUAGUGUAGCGGUGGAAUGCGUAGAUAUUAGGAGGAAUACCGGUGGCGAAGGCGACUUGCUGGACUUCAACUGACGCUGAGGAACGAAAGCGUGGGUAGCAAACAGG
rnacentral:rRNA from 1 species